UUUAAGGGUAAAUCAUGCAUUUUCUCUUCGAAAAUCCAACAUUUAGCUAAAAAAUCACGCGUUUAAGCGAAAAUCACCCGUUCUCUCUUCAAAAAUCUCCCAUUUAACCCCAAAAUCACCCAUUUUCUCUUCAAAAUUCCCGCAUUUAAUCCGAAAAUCACCCAUUUUCCCUUCAAAAAUCCCCAAUUAUUUGGAAAAUCACGCAUUUUCUCCUCAAAAACCCCCCAUUUAAGGGUAAAUCAUGCAUUUUCUCGACAAAAAUCCUCCAUUUAACUAAAUAACUAUGCACUUAAGCGAAAAUCAAACAUUUUCUCUUUGAAAAUCCCCCAUUUAAGGGUAUAUCAAGCAUUUUAUUUCUGAAAAUCUGCCAUUUAAGGGUAAAUCAUGCAUUUUCUCUUCGAAAAUCCAACAUUUAGCUAAAAAAUCACGCAUUUAAGCGAAAAUCACCAGUUUUCUCUACGAAAAACCCACAUUUAACCCGAAAAACAUGCAUUUUCUCUUCAAAAUUCCCCCAUUUAAACCGAAAAUCAACCAUUUUCCCUUCAAAAAUCCCCAAUUAUUUGGAAAAUCACACAUUUUCUCCUCAAAAACCCCCCAUUUAAGGGUAAAUCAUGCAUUUUCUCCUCAAAAAUCCUCCAUUGAACUAAAUAACUAUGCACUUAAGCGAAAAUCAAACAUUUUCUCUUUGAAAAUCCCCCAUUUAAGGGUAUAUCAUGCAUUUUAUUUCUGAAAAUCUGCCAUUUAAGGGUAAAUCAUGCAUUUUCUCUUCGAAAAUCCAACAUUUAGCUAAAAAAUAACGCGUUUAAGCAAAAAUCACCCGUUCUCUCUUCAAAAAUCCCCCAUUUAACCCCAAAAUCACCCAUUUUCUCUUCGAAAAUCCGACAUUUAAGUGAAAAUCACCCCUUUUCUUUUCAAAAAUCCCCCAUUUAACCCAAACAUCACCCCUUUUCUCCUCGAAAAUCCCCCUUUUUACCCCAAAAUCACGCAUUUUCUCCUCAAAAAUCCCCCAUUUAAGGCUAAAAAAUCACGCAUUUAAGCAAAAAUCACCCGUUUUCUCUUUGAAAAUCUCCCAUUUAACCCCAAAAUCACCCAUUUUCUCUUCAAAAUUCCCACAUUUAAUCCGAAAAUCACCCAUUUUCCCUUCAAAAAUCCCCAAUUAUUUGGAAAAUCACGCAUUUUCUCCUCAAAAACCCCCCAUUUAAGGGUAAAUCAUGCAUUUUCUCCUCAAAAAUCCCCCAUGUAACAAAAAAAUCAUGCAUUUAAGCAAAAAUCACGCAUUUUCUCUUCGAAAAUCCGCCAUUUUACCCCAAAAUCACCCAUUUUCUCUUCGAAAAUCCGACAUUUAAGUGAAAAUCACCCCUUUUCUUUUCAAAAAUCCCCCAUUUAACCCAAAAAUCACCCCUUUUCUCCUCGAAAAUCCCCCUUUUUACCCCAAAAUCACGCAUUUUCUCCUCGAAAAUCCCCCAUUUAAGGGUAAAUCAUGCAUUAUCUCUUCGAAAAUCCCCCAAUUAUCCCAAAAAAUCACACAUUUAAGCGAAAAUCACUUGUUUUCUCUUCGAAAAUCCCCCAUUUAACCCGAAAAUCACCCAUUUUCCCUUCAAAAAUCACCAAUUAUUUGGAAAAUCACACAUUUUCUCCUCAAAAACCCCCCAUUUAAGGGUAAAUCAUGCAUUUUCUCCUCAAAAAUCCUCCAUUGAACUAAAUAACUAUGCACUUAAGCGAAAAUCAAACAUUUUCUCUUUGAAAAUCCCCCAUUUAAGGGUAUAUCAUGCAUUUUAUUUCUGAAAAUCUGCCAUUUAAGGGUAAAUCAUGCAUUUUCUCUUCGAAAAUCCAACAUUUAGCUAAAAAAUAACGCGUUUAAGCAAAAAUCACCCGUUCUCUCUUCAAAAAUCCCCC
ensembl:lncRNA